rnacentral:tRNA from 1 species
CGGUAGUAUAGUGGUAAGUAUCCCCGCCUGUCACGCGGGAGACCGGGGUUCGAUUCCCCACUUUUUGA